rnacentral:misc_RNA from 1 species
GAUGAAGAACGCAGCGAAAUGCGAUAAGUAAUGUGAAUUGCAGAAUUCAGUGAAUCAUCGAAUCUUUGAACGCACCUUGCACUCCUUGGUAUUCCGAGGAGUACGCCUGUUCGAGUGUUAUGAAGCUCUCAAAACGCAAUUGGCUUAAAACCUGAUUGUUGUUUUGGAUUUGAACUUUGCCGUGUUAUAACGGCUGGUUUUAAAAGUAUUAGCUGGUACUAGAACGAAUUGGUUCUACUCAACGUGAUAAUUAUCUGAUCGUUGAGGACAUUCCUUUCACGAGGAAUGGCCAUAGUAAAUUCAAUGGACUGCUUCUAAUCUGGGUUUAAUUCUUUAUUGGAUUAACCACUUUUCAAAUCUGACCUCGAAUCAGGUGGGACUACCCGCUGAACUUAAGCAUAUCAAUAAGCGGAGGA